AUGCGAGGGACUACCGCUCACCAAAACUGAGAUGGAAGCUGAUUUUAAGCACCCCUCCACCCAUUGAAUCCACUUAGAACAAAAACCCAUCCUCCUCAGCUUGUAAAGCAAGAAAUCCCAUGAUAUUGAGUCAUAUGCCUUCUCAUAAUCAACUUUAAAAAUAAUGCUUGACUUCUGCCCUCUCCUAGCUUCGUCGACCACCUCAUUUGCAAUUACCGAGCUAUGUAGCAUAUGUAUUCCUUUUAUGAAUGCGGAUUGUCUUUCGUCUAUGAUAAAAAGGGAUGACCUUCUCCAAACGGUUGGCCAGAAUCUUUGCCACUAUCUUGUAUACACACCCUAUCAGUGAGAUGGGCCUGUAGUCAUUCAGAAGCUGUGGCUCUCGUACUUUGGGAAGAAGUGCUAUAAAUGAUGCAUUGCAUCCCCUGGGAAAUUUUCCAUUAACAUGGAAUUCAUCUAAGAACCUCAAAACAUCGGGUUUAAUGAGAUGCCAAAAUUUCUUGAUGAAUUUGAAAUUUAGUCCAUCUGGACCUGGACUUUUCUCACUCCCACAUUCCCAUAAAGUGCUUGUCACCUCAACUUCCUUGAAUCGUUCCACUAGCAUAUCAUUAUGGUGCCCAUCUAUGGUCUGGAAGAAUAUACCGUCCAACUGUGGUCUUUCUUGGUCCGAUUCUUGAAAUCGCUGCAUAAAGAAAGAUCUUAUUGCGUCUUUGACUCUUGCCAGCUCUUCAAUCCAAGAUCCAUCAAUCAUCACUCCUUUGAAGCAACUAUUUCCGCGGCUGACAUUCAUCAACAAAUGAAAAUAUCUUGAGUUACAAUCUCCUUCUGCCUUAGUAAGGACUCAUGUGAUUGGGCCGCUAUCCACAGGUCUUCUUAAAGCUGCUUCCUGGUCAACAUUUCUUGAGGGGUUAAGUGUCUGUCACUUGUGUCAUUCUCCAACUUGUUUAGCUCCUCCUCAAUUUUCUUGAAUUAUUUAAAGGUAUCACCGAAAUGUUCUUUGUUCCAGGCCUUCAUACUUUGCUUCAAUUUUUUGAUUUUUUCUUUAAGCACAAAUCCUCCCCAGCCACUUUGCUGAUUAGAUCUCCAUGCCUCUUGAAUAGUUUUCUUGAAUGAAUUGUCUGAAAGCCAACAAUUGAGGAUCUUGAACGGUUUGGGACCCCAAUCAACAAAUUUGGAUGACAGCAUGACUGGGCAAUGAUCAGAGAAGUUUCUAUCCAAUGCCUGCUGAGUGCUACCAAGCCAUUUGGCGAGCUACUCUGGAGAAACCAAGAAUCUGUCCAACUUGCUCCUAACAGUUCUGUUUGGUCUAAACCAAGUGAAUUUUCUUCCCAACCAUGGCGCUUUAUUUACCUCCAAUUUUUCAAUCCAUUCAUUGAAGUCAUUGAUACUACUUUCCCCUAUCUCCCUUUGACAUACGCUCAGUCUUUCAGAUGGAUCUCUGAUAUUAUUAAAAUCUCCCAAGAUACACCAUAGUCCCCCUUGGCUCUGGCUCUUCAUCUGCUUGACAUUAUCCCAUAGAACUCUUUGAUUAUGGAUGUCACAUGGUGAGUAAAUGGUGAUGAUAUGAAUCUGUUGAGUCUCUAGGAGCUUCUUUACUACCAAUAAUAUGAACCCAGGUCCACUAACUUUUUUUUCUAGCUUGAAAGUUUUAUCACUCCAGAUGCAUAGAAUUCCACCUGCUGAAUUUAAUGCAGGUAGUGCCUCCUAGCUGACUUCAGAGUCCCCCACAAAGCCUGACAUGUGGACUUAUCUAUAAUCUCCUUUUUCGUCUCUUGUAUACAUAACAUGUCAAUAUGCCACAUAUUGACCAAUCUUCUAAUUGUUGGUCAUUUGACCCCCCUCCCUAGCCCUCCCUCUGACAUUGUAUGAGAUGAUGUUCAUUGGAUACCCCUCCUACUUCCCACACUCUGUGCCUCUAUUUUAUCCCUUUUCUCCAUUUCCAUUAAUUUGCUCACAUAAUUGCUUUGCUGUGGCCCACAAGUGACCCCAAUUCCUUUGCCAUUUCCCAUAAUGCUGCAGCUUCUUGCUUCUGCUUGGUAGCACCUUCUUCCUCCUCAUAGUCUAUUUGAAUUGGGCUUUUAUCUAUGUUAGAACUGAUUCCUACUUGGUCUAAACCCGCUUUGUCCUCGACCCCGAGCUGAUGAUGGUUUGGGCUAUGGAUGGUGGUCUUUAAUUUUGGGUUUGUGGCUGAAAUGGGGCCUUCUGUGCUGCAGCCCAGGUGCAAUUUCUUUUGGAAUUUUUUUUUUUCGUGAGUAAACCUGCAAAUUAGGUGAAUGAGAGCUAAAGAGGUGUUGAUGAAGUGAAGUGAGGGGGGUGUGGAUAGCAAGGCCCGAUCCACCUUCCAUAUUCUUCUCUUGCUGACGUGGCUGGUUAUAAAUAAUAAUACUCGUUCCCUUCACGCUGCCAUACCUCAUCUUUUCGCUAUUUUCUGCUUCUCCCCCUCAUUCGAUCCUCUCUGUAUUGGUUAUUUCCUUGGUACCCUGCAUGUUUCCUUUUUUAUGUAAGUUGACUUCUGAUUCCGUCUGAGCGUCUAGCUGUCGGUGGGUAUGGGUCUCCACUGUGUCGAUCAAGCACGUUUGUCUGCCCUGACGUAUUUCAUUAGCCGUUGGGCCAGAAAACCACUGGGUAAUGCAGUUGUCUUGUGGUUGCUGAUUAUCCUUUGUUCAGUGGAUAAUUGGGUGGUAGCGUGUAACACUGUUCCCGACGGCAGCGCCUCCACCUCCUCCUCUUUGGCUGCAGCCGCGAGCUCCUCUUCUUUAGCUUCGUACACCGUCGAGUCCUGCUCGGUCGAGUUCACCGCCACGUCCUGUAUGGGCUUCGUCGAGGUCACGUCCCGCUCGGCCCAGGUCAUUGUCGGUGUCUCGGCUUGUUUGACCAUCGUCGGCGACGCUUCCUGCUCAGCUGCCAACAUCAUCUCGCGACGGUUAGGUAAUUGCCCAGUGUCAAACAUUUGCAUGUGAAGACAAAGGCAGAACUUAAAGAAGCUAUGUGUGUAGCACAACAUGAGCAAAUGGACUGUAUGGUUGAGAUUGAGAGUUCCAUUAAUGCCAAUGCCAAUUUCCACAGUCAAGGCUCUAUAAAGGACAAGUUCUAUUUAUACAAAAUCCGUGAAAUACAGUGUUCUAAAUAUAGAAUUGCACUUGAAGCUCCGCCAACAUCAACAUUUGUUACUGAUAGUUGUAAGGAAUUUUAUAGAGAAGGAUUUAUUUUAUCUUUAGUGCUUGAAGAGGGAAGCGUUGGUUAUGGUGAGGUUGGUAUCAGUUUCAUGUUAUAUCAUGUCUUGUAUCUUGCUUUACAUUAAUGUCUUGCUUUAUAAUAACGUUGGGCUGUUAAAAAACUGAAGAUUAGAUAAAAGCUAAAUUUCUUAGUAAAUGUAUUUAUAGAGUUAGAGUUCAUAGCUCUAAUACAAGAUAUGGAUAGCGGUGUGGAGUGGCUGCCACAAAAAAAUGAGAUAGUAGAUAGUGAGAUGACCGCUACUCUAAUAUUUUCGUAAAUGUUAAAUAAUUAUUAUUAUAUAUAUACUCUUUGGAGUCAAA